rnacentral:rRNA from 1 species
UUCAUCUCCGGGGGUAGAGCACUGUUUCGGCAAGGGGGUCAUCCCGACUUACCAACCCGAUGCAAACUACGAAUACCGGAGAAUGUUAUCACGGGAGACACACGGCGGGUGCUAACGUCCGUCGUGAAGAGGGAAACAACCCAGACCGCCAGCUAAGGUCCCAAAGUCAUGGUUAAGUGGGAAACGAUGUGGGAAGGCCCAGACAGCCAGGAUGUUGGCUUAGAAGCAGCCAUCAUUUAAAGAAAGCGUAAUAGCUCACUGGUCGAGUCGGCCUGCGCGGAAGAUGUAACGGGGCUAAACCAUGCACCGAAGCUGCGGCAGCGACGCUUAUGCGUUGUUGGGUAGGGGAGCGUUCUGUAAGCCUGCGAAGGUGUGCUGUGAGGCAUGCUGGAGGUAUCAGAAGUGCGAAUGCUGACAUAAGUAACGAUAAAGCGGGUGAAAAGCCCGCUCGCCGGAAGACCAAGGGUUCCUGUCCAACGUUAAUCGGGGCAGGGUGAGUCGACCCCUAAGGCGAGGCCGAAAGGCGUAGUCGAUGGGAAACAGGUUAAUAUUCCUGUACUUGGUGUUACUGCGAAGGGGGGACGGAGAAGGCUAUGUUGGCCGGGCGACGGUUGUCCCGGUUUAAGCGUGUAGGCUGGUUUUCCAGGCAAAUCCGGAAAAUCAAGGCUGAGGCGUGAUGACGAGGCACUACGGUGCUGAAGCAACAAAUGCCCUGCUUCCAGGAAAAGCCUCUAAGCAUCAGGUAACAUCAAAUCGUACCCCAAACCGACACAGGUGGUCAGGUAGAGAAUACCAAGGCGCUUGAGAGAACUCGGGUGAAGGAACUAGGCAAAAUGGUGCCGUAACUUCGGGAGAAGG